GUCUACAGCCAUACCACCCUGAAUGCACCCGAUCUCAUCUGAUCUUGGAAGCUAAACAGGGUCAGGCCUGGUUAGUACUUGGAUGGAAGACAGAUCUUCAGAACAGACUGUUCAGAGACU
rnacentral:rRNA from 1 species